rnacentral:rRNA from 1 species
GAUGAACGCUGGCGGCGUGCCUAAUACAUGCAAGUCGAGCGAACGGACGAGAAGCUUGCUUCUCUGAUGUUAGCGGCGGACGGGUGAGUAACACGUGGAUAACCUACCUAUAAGACUGGGAUAACUUCGGGAAACCGUAGCUAAUACCGGAUAAUAUUUUGAACCGCAUGGUUCAAAAGUGAAAGACGGUCUUGCUGUCACUUAUAGAUGGAUCCGCGCUGCAUUAGCUAGUUGGUAAGGUAACGGCUUACCAAGGCAACGAUGCGUAGCCGACCUGAGAGGGUGAUCGGCCACACUGGAACUGGGACACGGUCCAGACUCCUACGGGAGGCAGCAGUAGGGAAUCUUCCGCAAUGGGCGAAAGCCUGACGGAGCAACGCCGCGUGAGUGAUGAAGGUCUUCGGAUCGUAAAACUCUGUUAUUAGGGAAGAACAUAUGUGUAAGUAACUGUGCACAUCUUGACGGUACCUAAUCAGAAAGCCACGGCUAACUACGUG